rnacentral:tRNA from 1 species
GGGCCAGUAGCUCAGCUGGUUAGAGUACACGCCUGAUAAGCGUGAGGUCGGAGGUUCGAGUCCUCCCUGGCCCACCA